GGAGCAUGUGGUUAAUUCGACGCAACGCGCAGAACCUACCUGGGCUUGACAUCCCGAUCGCACCUUUUGGAAACUUAAGGGUCAGUUCGGCUGGAUCGGUGACAGGUGCUGCAUGGCUGUCGUCAGCUCGUGUCGUGAGAUGUUGGGUUAAGUCCCGCAACGAGCGCAACCCUCGUCCUUAGUUGCCAGCAUUCAGUUGGGCACUCUAAGGAGACUGCCGGUGUUAAACCGGAGGAAGGUGGGGAUGACGUCAAAUCAUCAUGCCCCUUAUGACCUGGGCUACAAACGUGAUACAAUGGCUGAAACAAAGGGCAGCGAAGGAGCGAUCUGGAGCGAAACCCAAAAAAGCAGUCUCAGUUCGGAUUGAAGUCUGCAACUCGACUUCAUGAAGUCGGAAUCGCUAGUAAUCGCGGAUCAGAACGCCGCGGUGAAUACGUUCUCGGGGUUU
rnacentral:rRNA from 1 species